AUAGAUAAACAGAAUAUUAAAUUUUGGUAAAUGUAAAGGCAACCAAACAGGCGUCACAAUUCACAGUCUCAUUGGGGACCGUCUUUUACACUUUCUCAAUCCUUGACUCUUGGUCAGGAGCCCUUGGUGUCAAUCUUUAGUUUGUCCAUUUAGUGCAGUUUUUCCAUGUGCAGGGUAUUUCACUGCUUUCAUUAAGAUAACUUUGCAUCAACAGACAAACGCUGUGGACAGGGACAUUUAUUACGUCAGUUUUGAUGUCUUUUAUCUCAAACUCAAUUCAGCUGUAUUUUAUGAUGACUGUGUUUAUGGAGUGGAAUCAUUUUCAGCAAUUAAUACCUCAAUGUUGAAACUUUUCACAUAAACGUAUUGUAUGACUUCAGAAGACUUUGAAUACAACACAAAUAGUUUUUAAUACUUUUAUAAUCUUUCUAGCACUAAAUGCCCUUGAGUGUAAAAAAAAAUAAAAAUUCCCUGAUUAUUUUUCAAGCUACAUAAUCUAAAAGCAAACCAAUCCCAGUCAAAGUGACUUGUUUUAAAGAAUCCCCACAUCCCCCAGUUCCCCCAGCAGCGUCUGGUAAACUGAUUGUGCUCUCUUCUUAUAUGCUAAUAACACUAAUGUCUCCACAUUAUCACCUGCCCCUUCACAGCAACAGUACCAACAGUAUCCGGGCUAACUGAGUCUCAUCCAAUCACGCUCCAGAUAUCUGGGUGGGGUUAUAUAUAUAUACUGUUUUUCUGACAAAAUCUACAUUGAAUUUUUUAUUUUUUUGUGAAGUAAAAUUCUAAAACCUUGAAGGACAAACUGCUUUUUGAAAUUCCUACAUUGCCUACAAGGGACCACAUACAACAAAGCCUACUAAGGCCAUUUCUCAUCUCUUUUUUCCAUUCAAGACUGAAAAGGAAAAUGAGACCCAGAAGAGUCUGUCCUGAAAAGGAAGCUUUGAAAUUCAUGGCAUCUGGGAAAGAUAAAGACAUAUUUCAGUCAAGAGUCAAGAGAAAGAUUGUUGAUGAACAGAAAAGAGCACAUUUGUGUGCAUUUGUGACCACAAACAUCACUACAGGAGAAGAAAUGAUGUUCGACUGCGGAGAUCCUGACAGCUCAUGGAGACAGGUAGCAGGAUGCUUGGUCCAUUACAGACGGAUGGGCAACACCCUCAUCAGACAACUACACCCUACACCCAGGAUCCACUUGGUCUGUCUCUACAUGUCAGAACGAGUAACUUCAGUCUUCAAUGGGAUGAAAGACUAUCUUAAGCAGAAUGAUGAGCAAAUCAGUGGAAGAGCAUCCUACUAUUGAGGAAUGCCUUCAGGAAGCCGGAACUAUGUGCAAAGACUUAUUGUAGAGUUUACAAUAAGCAUUCAAAUGAUUGGAUAUAAGUAUUAGUGUGAAUUUACAGGUUUGAUCACCAGUCUUAUCAAAUAUCAGCCACAAACAGCUACAGCUCAGGAAAGACUUCAGUCUUCAGUCUUGGACACAUUAGUAAAUCACUAGUGCCAUUAAAUCAAAACGCAAGAGCCAGAAAGCCCUGGUCAGAAACAGAGAGGAAACUCAUAGAACACUGUUUCAAGAUCUACUUGGAGGAAAUGAAGGCUCCUGGAAAAGUGGACUGUGAAAGAUGCAUAAAUGCAAACAGGAUUCUAAAGGACAAUGGAAGAGACUGGAAAACAGUUAAAUACUUUGUGCUCAACAGAAUAAUUUCAGUUAAGAGAAGUUUGGGUGAACAGUACUGAGCCCAUGAACCCUGAGAGCUUGUGAUGUGGAGUAUCAGUGUUGAGUCCUAACUGUGCUGGGACACUGAAGGUCCAUGUACAUGCAGCAUCAGUGCGUCAUAACAUUGAAAUGAUUGACUACAGCUGC